rnacentral:rRNA from 1 species
GAUGAACGCUGGCGGCGUGCCUAAUACAUGCAAGUCGAGCGAACAGACGAGGAUCUUGCUCCUCUGACGUUAGCGGCGGACGGGUGAGUAACACGUGGAUAACCUACCUAUAAGACUGGGAUAACUUCGGGAAACCGGAGCUAAUACCGGAUAAUAUAUUGAACCGCAUGGUUCAAUAGUGAAAGACGGUUUUGCUGUCACUUAUAGAUGGAUCCGCGCCGCAUUAGCUAGUUGGUAAGGUAACGGCUUACCAAGGCAACGAUGCGUAGCCGACCUGAGAGGGUGAUAGGCCGCCCUGGAACUGAGCCACGGUCCAGACUCCUACGGGAGGCAGCAGUAGGGAAUCUUCCGCAAUGGGCGAAAGCCUGACGGAGCAACGCCGCGUGAGUGAUGAAGGUCUUCGGAUCGUAAAACUCUGUUAUUAGGGAAGAACAAAUGUGUAAGUAACUAUGCACGUCUUGACGGUACCUAAUCAGAAAGCCACGGCUAACUACGUG